rnacentral:misc_RNA from 1 species
AAAAAAAAACCAAAUUGAAACUAUAUUAAAAAUUUAAUUUGAUUCUAAAUAAACCUUAACUUCAACUGAAAUCGCACAACUUUUCACCGAUGAAAAUUAUUAUUACAUCAGUAUCAGCAUCAGCAUCCAAAUGAACUGCCUUUGGCCUUUUAUUCGUGCUAGUUGCAAGAAAAGAACAUUACCAUUCCAUUUGGAAUGAUUCUAAGAAUAAAAUUCAAUACAAUCCAUUAAAAAGAAUUGAAUUCAAAUGAAUUUAUGUAAAAUUACGCCAGUUUUAGCAUAAAUUCUUCUUUCAAAAUAAUUUUUUUAAUUAAAAAAAUUAAAU